rnacentral:tRNA from 1 species
GGUGCUCAGUGCUAGAGCACUUGCCUUGCAUGCAUGAGGCCCUGGGUUCGAUUCCUCAGCACCA